rnacentral:rRNA from 1 species
CACGUAGGGGGCGAGCGUUGUCCGGAUUCAUUGGGCGUAAAGAGCUCGUAGGCGGUUUGUCGCGUCUGCUGUGAAAAUCCAGGGCUUAACCCUGGACCUGCAGCGGGUACAGGCAGACUAGAGUGCGGUAGGGGAGAUCGGAAUUCCUGGUGUAGCGGUGAAAUGCGCAGAUAUCAGGAGGAACACCGGUGGCGAAGGCGGAUCUCUGGGCCGUAACUGACGCUGAGGAGCGAAAGCAUGGGGAGCGAACAGG